rnacentral:rRNA from 1 species
AACGAACGCUGGCGGCAUGCCUAACACAUGCAAGUCGAACGGGAUCCUAGCUUGCUAGGUGAGAGUGGCGGACGGGUGAGUAACACGUGGGAAUCUGCCUUUUGGUUCGGGAUAACCGCGGGAAACUGCGGCUAAUACCGAAUGCCCUCGAGAGAGGAAAGAUUUAUCGCCAGAAGAGGAGCCCGCGUCCGAUUAGGUAGUUGGUGGGGUAAAGGCCUACCAAGCCGACGAUCGGUAGCUGGUCUGAGAGGAUGAUCAGCCACACUGGGACUGAGAUACGGCCCAGACUCCUACGGGAGGCAGCAGUGGGAAUAUUGGACAAUGGGCGAAAGCCUGAUCCAGCAAUGCCGCGUGAGUGAUGAAGGCCUUAGGGUUGUAAAGCUCUUUCGGCAGGAACGAAACGGUCUUUUCUAAUACAAGAGGCUAAUGACGGUACCUGAAGAAGAAGCACCGGCUAACUACGUGCCAGCAGCCGCGGU